rnacentral:rRNA from 1 species
GCGCAGGGUGGAUGCCUUGGCACUGAGAGCCGAAGAAAGACGUGAUAAGCUGCGAUAAGCAGCGGUGAGGAGCAAAUAUCCGAUGACCCGCUGAUUUCUGAAUGGGGAAACCCGGCUGAGCAACCCUCAGUCACCAUAUGCUGAAUACAUAGGUAUAUGGAGGGAACCCGCUGAACUGAAACAUCUAAGUAGGCGGAGGAAGAGAAAGAAACAUCGAUUCCCAAAGUAGCGGCGAGCGAAAUGGGAAGAGCCUAAACCGAAUCUCUACGGAGAGUCGGGGUUACGGACCUGCGGAAUCGAGAUUACUCAUAGUCGAAUAGCAUUGGAAAGUGCAGCCGGAGAGGGUAAAAGCCCCGUAGGCGAAAUGAGUAAUUGAGAGGCGGGUAUCCAGAGUACCACAGGACACGAGGAAUCCGGUGGGAAGUCGGGGGGACCACCCCCCAAGGCUAAAUACUACUUGGUGACCGAUAGCGUAUAGUACCGUGAGGGAAAGGUGAAAAGAACCCCGGGAGGGGAGUGAAAGAGUACCUGAAACCCUAUGUUUACAAGCAGUGGGAGCGAGAGCGACCAUGUACUUUUUGUAGAACGGGCCGGCGAGUUACUGUGUGCAGCGAGGUUAAGUUGUUAAGCAACGGAGCCGAAGGGAUACCGAGUCUGAAAAGGGCGUAAAGUUGCAUGCAGUACACCCGAAACCGGGUGACCUAUCCAUGGACAGGAUGAAGCGACGGUAAGACGUCGUGGAGGUCCGAACCACACGUACGUGAAAAGUGCGGGGAUGAGCUGUGGAUAGCGGAGAAAUUCCAAUCGAACUCGGAGAUAGCUGGUUCUCCCCGAAAUAGCUUUAGGGCUAGCCUCGAUUUAGAUUACCGGGGGUAGAGCACUGAAUGGGCUAGGGGGCCACAAAGCUUACCGAACCCUAUCAAACUUCGAAUACCGGAUAAUUGAUGAUCGGGAGUCAGACAGUGUGAGAUAAGUUUCAUUGUCGAAAGGGAAACAGCCCAGAUCUACGACUAAGGUCCCAAAGUUCAAGUUAAGUGGAAAAGGAUGUGCAAUUGCGUAGACAACCAGGAUGUUGGCUUAGUAGCAGCCAUUCAUUCAAAGAGUGCGUAAUAGCUCACUGGUCGAGUGAUUGUGCGCCGAAAAUGUAACGGGGCUAAACUUGACACCGAAGUCUAGGCAGAAGGAAACUUCUGGGUAGGGGAGCAACGUGUACGGGCAGAAGCAGAAGCGGAAGCGACUGUGGACUGUACAGGAGAGAGAAUGCCGGCAUGAGUAGCGAGAGCAAAGUGAGAAUCUUUGCCGUCGAAAGCCUAAGGUUUCCUGAGGAAGGCUCGUCCUCUCAGGGUAAGUCGGGACCUAAGCCGAGGACAAUAGUCGUAGGCGAUGGACAAUCGGUUAAUAUUCCGAUACCGCCGAGCAACCGGAUGCAGUGACACAGAAGGAUAGGCAGAGCGUGGCGAUGGUAGACCACGUCCAAGCAGUGAGGCUGUUGUGUAGUGAAGUACGCACAACGGAAGGCUGGGCUGUGAUGGGGAACGAUUACGAUCGGUAAGCUGCUGAAUUCACGCUGGCGAGAAAAGCUGCUACGAAGCGAAGGCGCCCGUACCGCAAACCGACACAGGUAGGCGAGGAGAGAAUCCUAAGACGAGCGGGAGAACCCUUGUUAAGGAACUCGGCAAAAUGACUCCGUAACUUAGGGAGAAGGAGUGCCUCGAGAGAGGCCGCAGAGAAUAGGCCCAAGCGACUGUUUACCAAAAACACAGGUCUGUGCGAAGUAGAGAUACGACGUAUACGGGCUGACACCUGCCCAGUGCCGGAAGGUUAAGGGGAAAUGUUAGGGCAACCGAAGCAUGGAACUUAAGCCCCGGUGAACGGCGGCCGUAACUAUAACGGUCCUAAGGUAGCGAAAUUCCUUGUCGGGUAAG